CGCUACCUGCAGUCGACGCCCCGCAGGGGAGUGGCAGACGGGUGAGUAACGCGUGGGAAUCUACCCAACCCUGCGGAAUAGCUCUGGGAAACUGGAAUUAAUACCGCAUACGCCCUACGGGGGAAAGAUUUAUCGGGGAUGGAUGAGCCCGCGUUGGAUUAGCUAGUUGGUGGGGUAAAGGCCUACCAAGGCGACGAUCCAUAGCUGGUCUGAGAGGAUGAUCAGCCACAUUGGGACUGAGACACGGCCCAAACUCCUACGGGAGGCAGCAGUGGGGAAUAUUGGACAAUGGGCGCAAGCCUGAUCCAGCCAUGCCGCGUCAGUGAUGAAGGCCUUAGGGUUGUAAAGCUCUUUCACCGGUGAAGAUAAUGACNGUAACCGGAGAAGAAGCCCCGGCUAACUUCGUGCCAGCAGCCGCGGUAAUACGAAGGGGGCUAGCGUUGUUCGGAAUUACUGGGCGUAAAGCGCACGUAGGCGGAUAUUUAAGUCAGGGGUGAAAUCCCAGAGCUCAACUCUGGAACUGCCUUUG
rnacentral:rRNA from 1 species